GACGAACGCUGGCGGCGUGCCUAAUACAUGCAAGUAGGACUCAGUUGCGAACGGGUGAGUAACGCGUAGGUAACUACCUAUUAGAGGGGGAUAACUAUUGGAAACGCUAGCUAAUACCGCAUACUAGUAGAUGGCCCUGCGUUGUAUUAGCUAGUAGGUAGGGUAAUGGCCUACCUAGGCAACGAUACAUAGCCGACCUGGGAGUGUGAUCGGCAACACUGGGAGUGGGAGACGGCCCAGACUCCUACGGGAGGCAGAAGUAGGGAAGCUUAGGAAAUGGGGGGAACCCUGACCGAGCAACGCAGAGUGAGUGAAGAAGGUUUUCGGAUCGUAAAGCUCUGUUGUUAAGGAAGCGGUACUUAACCAGAAAGGGAAGGCUAACUACGUGACAGCAGCCGCGGUAAUAC
rnacentral:rRNA from 1 species